rnacentral:snoRNA from 1 species
AUUGGGCUUCUGUAGCUACACAUCACCACUAGAAAUGCCUCAUAAAGUAACUCUGGUUUUGCUUUGCUUAUGGAUCUAUUUCUUAGGCCUGUGAGAAGGCACAAGACAGCA